rnacentral:rRNA from 1 species
AUUGAACGCUGGCGGCAGGCCUAACACAUGCAAGUCGAACGAGUGGCGGACGGGUGAGUAAUGUCUGGGAAACUGCCUGAUGGCGGGGGUUCACUACUGGAAACGGUAGCUAAUACCGCAUACCAUCAGAUGUGCCCAGAUGGGAUUAGCUAGUGGGUGGGGUAACGGCUCACCAAGGCGACGAUCCCUAGCUGGUCGGAGCGGAUGACCAGCAACACGGGAACUGAGACACGGUCCAGACGCCUACGGGAGGCAGCAGUGGGGAAUAGUGCACAAUGGGCGCAAGCCUGAUACAGCCAGGCCGAGUGUAUGAAGAAGGCCUUCGGGUUGUAAAGUACUUUCAGCGGGGAGGCGUUACCCGCAGAAGAAGCACCGGCUAACUCCGUGCCAGCCGCCGCGGUAAUAC